rnacentral:piRNA from 1 species
UCUGAGCCUUCCUUUUUCCCUGCAG